GUCACGUGCCUGGAUUAAUUUCUUGGCCACUUUGGCUUUCUUCCCCUUCUCCUCCCUCUCUCUUUGUGUUAUCUGCUCCAGCUCUCUCCUUGUCUUCUCUUGCAUCUCUUUUUUCUUUCUCUCCUCUUCUCUUAGUUUGGCCCUUUCCUUUUCUCUCAGCCUCUCCUCCUGUUCCUUUCUCUCCAUUUCUGCUUCCAUCCCUCUCGUCCUCCCUUCAUCCUCUUUCAGUUUUUCCAUCAUGGCUUUCCUCUUGCUCUCCUCUUCUUUCAGUCUCACAGUUUUCAUUUCUCUCUGUCUCUCCACUUCUAGCUGUCUUGAUUUGUUCUCCUCUUCCAAUCUCCUUUCUUUUCCUCUAUCUAUUUCGGUAUUUCCAUUGUCCUUCAGGAAGAGCAAGUCUAGGUCUACACUGGCCUCCUCACUUUCCUUCCAGUCUUCUUCUGAUCCAUCCUCAGUGUCUUCAAAGGAUAGUCCCAUGGACUUCCACAGCUGGGAGGUCUCCUCCUCUAUUUCCCGCAUCAUAUCUGUGUUCCUCUCGUCUCUCGUCUGUGGCUCUUUGACUUUCUCAUCCUCCUUCUUCUCCAUCUUCUCCUUCUCUUCUUUUCCUGAAUUCUCACUUCCCUCUUGUCUCUCCUUUCCUUUUUGCCUCUGGUCUUCAUGUUUCUCCCUCUCCAUUUCUUUGUUUAUUUCAAUUUCUGCUUCCUCUCUUUUUCGCUCCAUCUCCUCCAUCCUUCUUUGCUGCUCCUCUCUUUUUUGCUCUGUCUCCAGUCUCACUUUCUCCUCCUCAAUCUCUAUCUUUCUCCUCUCGUCCUCUUUUUGCUCCGUCUGUGCUGCUUUCUCCAUCUCCUCUUUCUUUCUCACCAUCUCUGCUAUCAUCUCCUCCUUCCUUCUUUCCUGUCUUUUUUGCUCUGCCUCCACUCUCACUUUCUCAAUCUCCUCUCUCUUUCUCACCAUCUCUGCUUUAGCUCUCUCCAUCUCUAUCCUUCUUUCCUCUUCCUGUCUUCCUGUCUCCAAUCUCACUUUCUCAAUAUUCUGUCUCUUUCUCUCUAUCGCCUGUCUCUCCCUCUCCAUUUCUUUGUAUCUUUCCAUCUCUGCUCUCCUCCUCUCCACUUCCUCGUUUCUUAGAAUCUCCUCUGUUAUGAGCUCC
ensembl:lncRNA